rnacentral:rRNA from 1 species
AGUGAACGCUGGCGGUAGGCCUAACACAUGCAAGUCGAACGGCAGCACAGUAAGAGCUUGCUCUUACGGGUGGCGAGUGGCGGACGGGUGAGGAAUACAUCGGAAUCUACUUUUUCGUGGGGGAUAACGUAGGGAAACUUACGCUAAUACCGCAUACGACCUACGGGUGAAAGAAGGGGAUCUUCGGACCUUGCGCGAUUGAAUGAGCCGAUGUCGGAUUAGCUAGUUGGCGGGGUAAAGGCCCACCAAGGCGACGAUCUGUAGCUGGUCUAAGAGGAUGAUCGGCCACACUGGAACUGAGACACGGUCCAGACUCCUACGGGAGGCAGCAGUGGGGAAUAUUGGACAAUGGGCGCAAGCCUGAUCCAGCCAUACCGCGUGGGUGAAGAAGGCCUUCGGGUUGUAAAGCCCUUUUGUUGGGAAAGAAAAGCAGCAGGUUAAUACCCCGCUGUUCUGACGGUACCCAAAGAAUAAGCACCGGCUAACUUCGUG